rnacentral:lncRNA from 1 species
GACAAGCAUUGCGGCAAGGGAGGCAGGUUCACCUGGUGAAUUGAUUCCAGGGCACAUGGAUCAGACAAAUGGCCAAUGGGCAGCAGGUGAGGUUGCUGCUGUGCUCUCCUUCCAGUCGACUCUCCCUCCUCAGCAGAGACCAGACCUGGCCUUCGUCUCCCAGCCCUCUGGCGUGUUUUCUCAACACCUCAGUGGAACAAGAAAGGACUGAGCCUGCCAGAACUAAGGACACUGGGCUGCACUCUGAGAAGUUCCUGGAUCUCCCCUGGACCUGACCAUCAUGUGGCCAGAGAAAUUGGGCACACGGAUCAGGUGAAAAGCCAAUGGGCAGCAAGUGAAGUUGCUGCUGUGAUCUCCUUCCAGUCGACCGUCCCUCCUCAGCAGAGACCAGACCUGCCCCUCGUCUCCCAGCCCUGCGCCUGGUGUGUGUUUUGUCAACACUUCAGUGGAACAAGAAAGGACCAAGCCUGCAAGAACCAAGGUAGUGUGUUCAACAUUAUCACGACGGCUCUAAAAACAGUUACUGUCACACAGAACGAAAGGGAGAAGAGGAGGACUUCUCUGGGAAAGUUGUGAGGAGAGAAGACUGACUAUACACUUCUUUCUACCACCACAGAAGUUUACAGAAACUCACUCGUUUCACUUUAGGGGCCCAACCAGCAGUGACAUGGGUCCUAACCAAAGGUCGUGCAACCCCAGGUAUAGGGUCUGGGGAUUGUGUGGGUCUCACCCCAUCCACAUGGGUCAGGAUCCUGUACCUGGAAACACCAUAUAUGUUCUUUACCUGCAGUGUGUUUUGUACCCUUGGAGAUUCCCAACGUCUGAAUUGAGGGUGUUGAUCUGAUUAACCUGUGGUCCUUUUUCUUCUCUUCACCUUGUCGCAUUCACAUGAGGUCAGGCACCUUUGAGUGGAUUGCUGCUCUGUGUUUUGCUGAGUGAAAAUCUUUGGUGUCAAAUUAAUAUCAUAGCAUAUCCCUUAUCUAAUCAUAGGGGUCACCACCGCCUGGUGUCCCCUACACUGAGCUCAGAUAAUUUAAUUUGUAAUUUAACUGUUAUUUUAUAUUGGAGCACAGUUGAUUUCUGUUGUUUUGUUUGUUUAGGUGUAUAUGAACUUGAUUCAGUUAUACCUGCUGCUGCUGCUGCUGCCGCCGCCUCGCUUUAGUCAUGUCCGACUCUGUGCGACCCCAUAAACAGCAGCCCACCAGGCUUCCCGUCCCUGGGAUUCUCCAGGCAAGAACACUGGAGUGGGUUGCCAUUUCCUUCUCCAAUGCAUGAAAGUGAAAAGUGAAAGUUAAGUUGUUCAGACGUGUCCGACUCUAGCGACCCCAUGGACUGCAGCCUACCAGGCUCCUCCAUCCAUGGGAUUUUCCAGGCAAGAGUACUGGAGUGGGGUGCCAUUGCCUUCUCCGCAGUUAUACCUAGAUGUUUAUCUAUUCUUUUUCUGCUUUUUUACUCAUAUAGGUUAUUACAUUUUUUCCAGUACAGUUUCCUGUUCUAUUCAGAAAACUUAAUAUAUUAUCAACUUGAUAUAUAUUAGUGCAUAUAUUUCCAUCCCAAACUAUUAAUUUAUCCCUCUCUUCUAACUUUCUUUUGAUAAUUGGAAUUUGGUUUUCUCAGGCUGUGAGUCUGUCUGGUACAUUAGUUCACUGGUAUGAAUGUAUAGAUUCCACCCGUACGUAUCACAUAUUUGUCUCUGACUUACCUCACAUAGAAUAUAAUUUCUUGGUUCAUCCAUGCUGCUGCCAAUGUCAUCAUUUCAUUUUGUUUUACGACUGAGUAGUAUUCCAGUGUAUAGGUGUACCUCAUAGCCUUCACCUUUCUGUCACUGGACAUUUUGGUGGAUUCUAUAUCUUGGCUUUUGUAAAUAGUGUUGCCCUGAAAGUUGAGGUGCACGUGUCAUUUUGAAUGAUGAUUUUUUUCUGGACCUGAGUCCAGGAAUGGGAUUUCAGGAUCAUAUGAUACCUCUCUGUUUAGUGUUUCAAGGAACGUCCAUGAUGUUUUCCAUAGUGGCUUCACCAUUUACAUUCCCACCAGGAUUGUAGGAGGAUUCCUUUUUCUGUACAUUCUCUACAGUGUUUGUUCUUUGUAGAUCUUUUCGAUGAUGGCCACUGUGACUAAGGCAAUACCUUAUUGAAGUUUUGAUUGGCAUUGAUUUAAUAAUUAUUGAUGUGGAGUAUCUUUCCAUGUGCUUUUAUUAUUUUACACCUUGUGAGUACAGUUUACCUCUUGAAACUGGCUUCUAGAAACUUGACCCUGUUUGGAAUUCUUUUGCGAUGAUUUACCUCAGGACAUUCCUUGAGUGCAGGUGUCAUUUAAAGUCCUGCUGGACUUUUGACUAUUAAGAGCCCUUCAGCACGUGUUUUAUGGCUUCCCUGUUGGAUCAGCGGUAAGAAAUCCACCUGCAAUGCAAGAGACUUGAGGAGACACAGUUUUGAUGCCUGGGUUGGGAAGAUCCCCUGGAGAAGGAAAAGGCAACCCACUCCAGUCUUCUUGCCUGGGAAAUCCCAUGACAGAUGAGCCUGGCAGGCUACAGUCCAUGGGGUUCCAAAGAGCUGGACACGAGUGACUAAACAAAACAGCAGCUGUUUUAAUGUGUAUAUAUUGAUCUGAACCCCCUAAUUACUCCCUGCCCCCUGACAUUUCUUUUUGGUAAACAUCAAGCUUCUUUUCUAAGUCUGUGAAUCUGUUUCUCUUCUGUAAUGAAGUUCAUUUGUAUCCAUUUUUAGAUUCUGCCGGAAGUGAUAUCCUAUGAUGCUUGUCUCCCUGUUUCACUUUCUUCACUUACUGUAAAUCACCUCUGGUUUCUUCCCUGUAACUAGAAAUGUCAUUGUUUCAUCCUUUUUUAUUUCUGAGUAAUAUUGCAUUGUGUAUAUGUACCCCAUCUUCUGUAUCCAUUCAUCUGUCUUGGUACACUUAAGUUGCUUCUGUAUCUUUGCUACUGUACCUAGGGCUGCUAUGACCUUUGGGGUGCAGGUUUCUCUUUAUAUUUUGGUUUUCUCUGGAUCUACACCUAGGUAUGGUAUUGCUGGAUCACUUGGUACUUCUAUUUUUAGUUUUCUAUAAACCUCCAUAAUGUUCUCCAUAGUGGGUGUACGAUUUACAUUCCCACCAACAGUGUAAGAGGGUUCCCUUCUCUCCACCGCCUCUGGAGAAUUUACUGUUGUAGGUUUUUUGAUAUGGUCAUUUAGAUCAACCAUAUUGCCUUUCCAAUGACAAAGAAAGGUAAUGCCAAAGAAUGCUCAAAUUACUGCACAAUUGCACUCAUCUCACAUGCUAGUAAAGUAAUGCUCAAAAUUCUCCAAGCCAGGCUUUAGCAGUACGUGAACCGUGAACUUCCAGAUGUUCAAGCUGGUUUUAGAAAAGGCAGAGGAACCAGAGAUCAAAUUGCCAACAUUCGCUGGAUCAUCGAAAAAGCAAGAGUUCCCAAAAAAACCAUCCAUUUCUGUUUUAUUGACUAUGCCAAAGCCUUUGACUGUGUGAAUCACAAUAAACUGUGGAAAAUUCUGAAAGAGAUGGGAAUA